GACCGGAGCGCGCUCAAAGGCUGCCCGUCCAAAGGAGAGUCCAAUUCUUCAAACUUCAAAUGACAGUCCGGAGAUCCACUAGUUAAUCUGGACUAUAGGAGGAAUUCCGACACCUGACAAAAGACCGCGGCAUUCCUCAGGAACUUGUGAAGCUCUAGUUCCUGUCUAGGAAAAUGACUCAUUUCCCUUACCUCCAGCAAAAGUGACUUAUGGCUCUCCGAUUAACAUAUCAGCACAACAAGGUGCGAGCCCUGCAGCCUCCAGACUCCCUCAGUCCCUACAAGCACUUAUACAUUUCAAAGCCUGCUCACCAGUCCCCUGGCCCUUCCCACCCACCGAUUACUCACUCUUCUUGUUCACUAUUCUCCGCUCCUGCUGCUGCUUUUUCAAUAAAGCUUCCCCUAUUUUCUAUCAGUGGCCAUUUUCUUGUUUCUUGUACACAGUCCUGGCGAAGCCCAGUCUGCUGUGCAUGGUCAGUCUACUACUUUCUCUCUCUGCCCUGGACUCUUCUAGAUCCCUGUGGCUGUUCUCGCGCUCAUGUCUCCAAUAAAAACCUUAACCAUAA
rnacentral:lncRNA from 1 species